UUCUGGCGUUCACGGCUCAGGCUCAUCAAGGUCCCAGAGCAGAGAAAGACAUACUAAACGCUCAUCAAGGUCCCACAGCAGAGAAAGGCGUUCUACACGCUCAUCAAGGUCCCACAGCAGAGAAAGGUCUACAAGACGUGCACCGUCUCCUUCAUUUACUCCUCUGCACUCCAGCACUUCAUCCAGAUUCCCCAUCACUCAAGCAAAGUUUCAGAAAAUUGUCAUCACCAAGCUCAUGACUCUAGAGAAUGAAAUAAAAAAAACUGCAGAGAAGCGAAAUUCACUCAGCCGGCAACAUUGAAAAAAUGCAGUCAAUGGAGGAUUUCAGAAGGAUGGAGGCCUCACUGCAGCAGACAACUUGAGUAAUUUGGCUCUUCACCAACCAGCUCAUGACACAGUUUAACAUGAGAGGAAAGGAUAAAAAAGAAAAAAAUGGAUUAGAGGACACAAAAGUGUUUUCCUGCUAUAAAAGAUGCUGUCAUGCAGUGGGACAGGUCAGCAACUGAGGCCCAAAUAAGGAGUGCUGCUGCUGAUCAUCUCAAACACGCCCCGUGGAGAGUCGGAGGAGAUGCAUACAAAUGAGUAGUUGUUAGUUGUUUAUUGUUUGUAUGUUUAUUUUGAAAAUGUUUGGCCUCUCAGUCAAGAGGCUUCUUAACGUCAGAAAGUUGUUGUUUGAGAAUGUUGUUUGUUGUUUAAAAAAAAGAGAGAAUAAAGGCACAAC